rnacentral:lncRNA from 1 species
UAUCUCAACAUAACCUAGGCAUCAUCAUAUAUACAAGAUUAAGAUAAGUAAAAAUAAAAAUCUAUUUUUUAUCUUUGCGUGGAUAGAUCUUCAUCAUGAUCUGAUGAUCUAUGGAUAUCUUCAUGAUCCAUUGAAGCUAUAAUCUGAUGACCUAUAGAUGUCUCCAAAGUUUUUUUGAAGCCACACAAGUAUCCAAUCUCUACAGGUACCCACACGAGGC